rnacentral:lncRNA from 1 species
CAAAGUGAAGGUGUUUCAGUACCAAGUAGUAAUACCCUCCUUGAGUUAGGGAGCUCUUUUCUUGAUGUCCCAGCCAUAGUGAGCAAAAAUUUCUUUCACAAAUAUCCUCUAAAACCAGGCAACAAAAUCUUGGCUGAUGAGGAGCACAAGGAACUUCUUUGAUAAGGAUUCAUGGAAAUCCUCAAGAGAAUAUCUGUCAGGGCCCAAGUGGAAGCUCCAAACCAGGAGAAGGAUCAGCCAACAGGAACUUGUGCUACAGAAGUUGCUGGUGGCAACAGGUCCCUGAUAGCCAAUCUUUCUGCUUCCAAUUGUUAUUAAAAUUAAAAGCAUGUGGAUUUGGAGAAAAGGGGCUUUGAUAGUAAAAGCAGGAGUUUAGUAUAUGGCUGGCUUUUUAUCUUCUAAUCUUCCCAAAGACAGUGUUGAAGAUGGCUCAAUGUGCUUAUGAAAACAAUAUGCUCACCACUCUAAAUCUGUCUGCCCCAGGUCCUUCAUGGACUCCUUGAUGAUAGUUAUGCCUUAUGUGCAUAACCUUUUCAGAAAUGAAAUGGAAUCAG